rnacentral:tRNA from 1 species
GUCGGGAUAGCUCAGAUGGUAGAGCAG